rnacentral:tRNA from 1 species
GUCUAACUGGCUCAGUUGGUAGAGCAUGCGACUCGAUCUCAGGGCCGUGAGUUCAAGUCCCACAUUGGGCA